rnacentral:rRNA from 1 species
AUUGAACGCUGGCGGCAUGGCUAAGACAUGCAAGUCGAACGCGAAAGGGGCUUCGGCCCCGAGUAGAGUGGCGAAAGGGCGAGGAAUACGUUCCUAUGUACCCCAAGGUCGAGGAUAGCCCAGGGAAACUUGGAGUAAUACUCGAUGUGGUCUACGGAUCAAAGGUUUACUGCCUUGGGAGCGGGGAACGUCCUAUCAGGUUGUUGGUGAGGUAAUGGCUCACCAAGCCGGAGACGGGUAGCGGGUGUGAGAGCAUGACCCGCCGCAUCGGGACUGAGACACUGCCCGGACUCCUACGGGAGGCUGCAGUAACGAAUAUUCCGCAAUGCGCGAAAGCGUGACGGAGCAAUGCCGCGUGCAGGAUGAAGCCCCUCGGGGUGUAAACUGCUGUCAGGGUUUAGGAAGAUCUGACCAAACCCAAAGGAAGGGCCGGCUAACUUCG